rnacentral:rRNA from 1 species
GAUGAACGCUGGCUACAGGCUUAACACAUGCAAGUCGAGGGGCAGCAUUAGGUAGCAAUACUGAGAUGGCGACCGGCGCACGGGUGCGUAACGCGUAUCCAACUUUCCCGUUACUCUGGGAUAGCCUUCCGAAAGGGAGAUUAAUACCGGAUGGUGUUGAAAAUUCGCAUGUUUUUUCAACUAAAGAUUUAUCGGUAACGGAUAGGGAUGCGUGACAUUAGGUAGAUGGCGGGGUAACGGCCCACCAUGCCUACGAUGUCUAGGGGUUCUGAGAGGAAGGUCCCCCACACUGGAACUGAGACACGGUCCAGACUCCUACGGGAGGCAGCAGUGAGGAAUAUUGGUCAAUGGUCGGAAGACUGAACCAGCCAAGUAGCGUGAAGGAUGAAGGUUCUAUGGAUUGUAAACUUCUUUUAUAUAGGAAUAAAACCUCCCACGUGUGGGAGCUUGUAUGUACUAUAUGAAUAAGCAUCGGCUAACUCCGUGCCAGCAGCCGCCGUAACAC